AUUUUUCUUGUACAAUUUUGGAGGUCAGGUUCCUUCACUGUUUACUUUGCAUUUGUACACUUAAUAUUGCAACUUAGAGUGGUUUUAUGGGUCAGUCUGUUUUACUCUGUUGAGUAUGCAUUGGACACGGGUGUCCCGCAUGGUUAAUAAAAAGAUCUGCUGCUGCCAAUAAAUUGGACCAAGCUGGCUUUCAGAACAUAGCAUGUAUAACAUCAGGGCUUCAAACUGUAAAACCAGGCACAUUUGAUUCCGUAUGUACAACUAAGUUGCAAGAUGCCAGCAAAGCUGGUUUGGUGACAAUUCAAGGCAAGAACUCAGCCGUGCUCGGAACAGUACUCAUCUGCAAGUGAUUCAUUAGCCAUCAAAAACUUUUGUAUCAGUUUCAUGUCAUGUUAUGUUAUAUUCUAACUUUUUAUCAUGUUUUUAUUUCAUGUUUGUAUUCAAAACUACGUAUAAUUAUACUUGUCAUAUGUGUGUAUGCAAAGCAAACAAAGGUAGCGGAAACGCAUCGAGCAUAAA